AAUUGGCAAGUCUGGCCUGCCUGGGAAAUAUAAGUGCUGGAUCUACCAACAUGGCCUACUCCAAAGACUUAUGUGGCUUCUCACCAUCUACGAAGUGCCAAUAACAUCAGUUGAAGGGAUGGAGAGGAAGUUCAACAAGCACCUUCGAAGAUGGUUGGGAAUACCCCCCAGUUUUACAUCAGUGGGGCUCUACAUAAGGUCGGGUCAGCUCCAGCUCCCCCUGUCCUCAGUUGUGGAGGAGUUUAAAGUUGCCAAGUGUAGACUUUCCCUCACAUAUAGGGACUCCGAAGACCAACUCACCAGGGAAGCAGGAAUAAGAACAAGAUCCGGCAGGAAGUGGGCCGCCAGUACUGCAGUUAACCAGGCAGAAUCUUCUCUGAGGACCAAAGAUACCAUCGGGAACCUUUGCACUGGAAGGCAGGGUCUAGGAACAUCCCAUUUCCAGCAGUGGUCAAAGUCCACUCCCAGGGAAAAGAGGACCAUGAUCCAGGAUGAAGUCCGAAACCUUGAGGAAGAAGGAAGAAGAGCUAAAUCCAUCGAGCUCGCAACUCAAGGUGCCUGGACAAGGUGGAACCUUCCCAAAAGAACCAUCACGUGGAGUGAGAUGUGGCGGUUGGAGCCGUUCCGUAUCUCCUUUAUGCUCCGAGCAGUGUACGACACCCUACCGACCCCAGUCAACUUGCACAGGUGGGGAAUGAGGGAGGACCCACUGUGCAGGUUGUGUGGCGGUAAAGGAACCAUGGCGCACAUCCUAUCGGGGUGCAAAACAGCAUUGACCCAGGGGAGGUAUAGGUGGCGCCAUGACAAGGUGUUGGCACAGCUCGCAGACACCCUGGAGCAAGAGAGGAGAAAGAAACGUCCAGCCAAAACUAAGCCACUGUUGAGUACCAUCGCCUUUGUAAAAGAGGGUCAGAGACCAGCCGUCCAAAGCCAAGCCAAGCAGAAUCUCCUGCAGUCAGCCCAGGGAUGGGUUUUGGAGGUCGAUCUGGGGAGGAAACUCCACUUCCCAGAGGCGGUACUGUCCACAACCCUGAGACCAGACAUCAUCAUGUGGUCCCUAGAGGGGAAGAAGAUCAUCCUGGUGGAACUAACAGUCCCGUGGGAAGAGAACUGUGAGGAGGCGGCAGAGAGAAAGAAAAUGAAGUACCAACAACUUGUCCAGGACUGCCGGGACAAGGGGUGGACAACAUGGCUGAUGACAGUGGAAGUGGGUUGUCGAGGAUUCCCAGCUCAAUCAGCCUGGAAUCUGAUGACAAGGGUUGGACUAAGAGGCCACCUGAGGAAAACAGCCGUUCGUAGGUUGGGAGAAGCGGCAGAGAGAGCCUCCUGUUGGCUCUGGCAUAAGAGAGAGGACACUAGCUGGAAGCCUGGAGGAGGGGGGCAGUGACUUGGCC
rnacentral:lncRNA from 1 species